UACGAAGGGGGCUAGUGUUGCUCGGAAUCACUGGGCGUAAAGCGCACGUAGGCGGCUUUCUAAGUCAGGGGUGAAAUCCUGGAGCUCAACUCCAGAACUGCCUUUGAUACUGGAGAGCUUGAGUCCGGAAGAGGUGAGUGGAACUCCGAGUGUAGAGGUGAAAUUCGUAGAUAUUCGGAAGAACACCAGUGGCGAAGGCGGCUCACUGGUCCGGUACUGACGCUGAGGUGCGAAAGCGUGGGGAGCAAACAGG
rnacentral:rRNA from 1 species